GAUGUUUACAAGCUGACGACACGAAAAGCCUACCGGUAUAUUCCGAAGUUUGUUUAAGCGUUCUUGUUUAAUUUACUCUGACAUUUGCAGCUACUAAGUCUCAGAAGAACAUAAGAUCAAUUACAGUUUACAUAGGAGACCAUGUGGCCUGUGAUAGUAGCUGUUAUGCGGACAUAUGCUCCAUAUGUGCUGCUCCCCAUCACAGCCACUAUUGGGUGUGUGGGAUAUUUCUAUGAAGACAAGUUCAGAGACAUUAAUAAACCAUUCAAAUCAAUAACUAUUCAAGAGGAACGAGAUCAAAGGAAGUUGGAAGAAGUGAAAGAACAAUCAGAUUUAACAAAUCUAAAAAGUUUGAAAUCCAAGCCAAAUGUACCAAAGACAAUCUUGGACAGAAAUGAUAAAGCCAAUAUCGGAACAACAAAGAACAUUUCUUGAUGAGGAAUUAUUCAUAGUUGUGGAAAUUCAUCAUACAUCAUGUAACUGUCAAAACCAUACAUUCAAAACAGCAAAAAUCACUUGGAUCAGAUAGCUGGUAAUUUAUGUGUCACAAGUUUCAUUCCAAGUACAUGCUAAUUAAUAUCUGGUAGAUAUAGCUUUUCAAGUAUUCUGCCAACAUAUGUUUGAUUUGCAUGAAAUUGUACUUAAAAGAAAUGGUGAUUAGCUCUCGUGUGCUUACAUUUAUUGCACUUAAAUGUGUAUAUUACAAUAUUUUUUUUUUUUUUUUUUUUUUUUAAGGAAUCCAGAAAAUAUAUAUUCAUUAAAGUGAGUUAAAGUGGACAGGUAAUUUUAGAUGAGAUUUUUCAAAAUGUACUGUAAAUUGAGACUUUUAAAACAAAAAGGAUUCAAUGCAAAAUCCAUUUGUACCGUUGGUGUUAAUAUUGGAAUAAUGAAUACUUGGCUCACAGACACCUGAAAGUGUUGGUGGAAAUGAGUGGAGGCCAAAGGAAAUGUAUCUUCUGAUUUUGUUUCAUGAAACCAACAUGAAUAUCUCUCAGAAAGUUAGGUUUAAACAAACCAAUUUUCAACCUACUUAGAAUUUGUUUUUACUGUUAUAUUGUAUAUAUUCAUAACUCGUGGCAAAUUUCAUGUUUAUGAUUUGUGUGUCUGAUGAUUUGUUUCUUGCAUCAGCAAUGACUUUUAAAACAAUUCUAUAGCUCAAUAAUUGAACCAUUUUUCCACAGUAUUCUUCAGGGUCUAUGAUUUGUGAUCUAGGAGGGGGAAAAAAGACUUUUUUCUCACCCAGAGAAAUUAAGUGCGUGUUAGUUUGAUAAUUGUCUAAAUGUUCUCCAGUGGUGAUAAUGUCAGAAGAAUACUUUGGACUAGUUUGAUAAGUGUUGGAUGGUCGGUAAGAGUGUGAGGGUAAAGGAAUUGAUGUAUGUGGAGAAAAGUUUGGAUUAUACAAUUCGCUGAAAGCAAUUGUGUGUAUUGUUAUGGAUUGUACAUUUAAGAUAUGUUUGAAAAGUGGAGAGAUAUGAAAUCAUUGUCAAAUAAAAUAAAUCAAUGUCAAAUAA